GAUGAACGCUGGCGGCGUGCCUAAUACAUGCAAGUCGAGCGAACGGACGAUAAGCUUGCUUCUCUGAUGUUAGCGGCGGACGGGUGAGUAACACGUGGAUAACCUACCUAUAAGACUGGGAUAACUUCGGGAAACCGGAGCUAAUACCGGAUAAUAUUUUGAACCGCAUUGUUCAAAAGUGAAAGACGGUCUUGCUGUCACUUAUAGAUGGAUCCGCUCUGCAUUAGCUAGUUGGUAAGGUAACGGCUUACAAAGGCGACGAUGCAUAACCGACCUGAGCGGGUGAUCGGCCACACUGGAACUGGAACAACGUCCAGAGUACUACGGGAGGCAGCAGUAGGGAAUCUUCCGCAAUGGGCGAAAGCCUGACGGAGUAACGCCGAGUGAGUGAUGAAGGUCUUCGGAUCGUAAAGCUCUGUUAUUAGGGAAGAACAUAUGUGUAAGUAAAUGUGCACAUCUUGACGGUACCUAAUCAGAAAGCCACGGCUAACUACGUG
rnacentral:rRNA from 1 species